AGUCCCAGCUCCUGCAGCCGCUCCAGCUCCAGCUCCUGCAGCCGCUCCAGCUCCAGCUCCUGAAGCCGCUCCAGAUCCAGCUCCUGAAGCCGCUCCAGCUCCAGCUUCUACCACUGCUCCAGUCCCAGCUCCUGCAACUGCUCCAGCUCCAGCUCCUGAAGCCGCUACAGCUCCGGUUCCUGCAACUGCUCCAGCUCCAGCUCCUGCAGCCGCUACAGCUCCUGUGGCCGUGUCAGAGAAACGAGCUGUAGCAGUGCAAGUUGACCCUGCAGAGGGUAUUCCAACCCCUGUAACGGGGUCAGAGAAACGAGCUGUAGCAGUACAAGUUGACCCUGCAGAGGGUAUUCCAACCUCUGUGACAGACCCUGUAACAAAGUCAGAGAAACGAGCAGUAGCAGUGCAAGCUGCCCCUGUAGAGAAGGUGAAAAUAUGGUAUAGAAAUUCAAGUCGUUUAGAACGCAGAGAGUCUUCUGCCAAUCCAGGUAAGGCUUCUGCCAAAACUAAGUAUAGAGAUGACGAAGAUGACGACGACGCUGGGCCAUCAAGGAUUCAGGAGGAGGAAGAUGAGGAUGCCGAAAAAGCAACAGUAACUACCCGAAGCCUAAACGAGCGCGAGCUACGAGAUGUGCGAAAAGAUUUUGGUCGCUGUAUAGGUGAGCAGCUUGUCACCUGGCUGCUCCGGUGCUGGGACUCUGGAGCCAAUUGUGUGGAAUUAGACGGCAGGGAAGCCAGACGGUUGGGAUCCCUUGCUCGAGACGCCGGCAUUGACAAAGCAAUUGCAGAUGGAGCACAAUCCACCAGCCUCUGGAGGCGUCUCCUCUCAGCUGUGAGGGAAAGGUAUCCCUUCAAGGAAGAACUUUUAUGUCUACCAGGCAAGUGGACCACUAUGGAGAAGGGAAUCCAGUACCUGAGGGAAUUAGCCGUACGGGAAGUGAUUUAUGAGGAUCCAGACCUCAGACAAACAUCCAAAGACCCAGAUGAAGUCAAGUGUACACGACCCAUGUGGCGGAAGUUUGUACAGAGUGCACCAUCAUCAUAUGCCAGCUCAUUGGCAAUAAUGGCCUGGAAAGAGGAUGAGGAACCCACAGUGGAUGAAGUGGCUAAACAACUCCGGCAGUACGAAGAAAGUCUCUCCUCUUCCUUACAGGCCUGCGUCUCAGCUGUGGAGAAACUUUCUGAAAAGGUUCACCAACUUGAAGAGAAUCUAUCUUCCUCCCCACCUGAACCAACCAGUGCCCACCGACCGAAAGAGAACACCUGGGAGAAAACACUUUCUGAAAAGUUUCACCAACUUGAAGAGAGAUUAUUCUCCUCCGCACCUGUACAAAGCAGUGUCUCAGCUAUCAGGGGUAGGCGUUCAUCUACACAAGGAAGACGAUAUGGUGGGUACUCACCCCGUGCCACCCUGUGGUUUUACUUACGAGACCAUGGAAGGCAGCCAAGUGGUACGCCACAAUUGAUAUCGCUAAUGCAUUUUUCUCCAUCCCUCUAGCAGCAGAGUGCAGGCCACAAUUUGCCUUCACUUGGAGGGGAGUCCAAUAUACUUGGAAUCGGCUGUCCCAGGGGUGGAAACACAGCCCUACCAUUUGCCAUGGGCUGAUCCAGUCUGCGCUAGAGCAGGGGGAAGCUCCUGAACACCUGCAGUACAUCGAUGACAUUAUUGUGUGGGGUGACACAGCAGAGGAAGUUUUCGAGAAAGGGAAGAAAAUAGUCCAAAUCCUUCUGAAAGCCGGUUUUGCCAUAAAACAAAAUAAAGUCAAAGGACCUGCACGAGAGAUCCA
rnacentral:lncRNA from 1 species